rnacentral:rRNA from 1 species
UGGGGAAUAUUGCACAAUGGGCGCAAGCCUGAUGCAGCCAUGCCGCGUGUGUGAAGAAGGCCUUCGGGUUGUAAAGCACUAUCAGCGGGGAGGAAGGCGUUAAGGUUAAUAACCUUGGCGAUUGACGUUACCCGCAGAAGAAGCACCGGCUAACUCCGUGCCAGCAGCCGCGGUAAUACGGAGGGUGCAAGCGUUAAUCGGAAUUACUGGGCGUAAAGCGCACGCAGGCGGUCUGUCAAGUCGGAUGUGAAAUCCCCGGGCUCAACCUGGGAACUGAAUUCGAAGCUGGCAGGCUAGAGUCUUGUAGAGGGGGGUAGAAUUCCAGGUGUAGCGGUGAAAUGCGUAGAGAUCUGGAGGAAUACCGGUGGCGAAGGCGGCCCCCUGGACAAAGACUGACGCUCAGGUGCGAAAGCGUGGGGAGCAAACAGG